AUUGAACGCUGGCGGCAGGCCUAACACAUGCAAGUCGAGCGAGCGGCGGACGGGUGAGUAAUGUAUGGGGACUGCCCGAUAGAGGGGGAUACCUACUGGAAACCGUAGCUAAUACCGCAUACUAUCGGAUAACCCAUAUGGGAUUAGCUAGUAGGUGAGGUAACGGCUCACCGAGACGACGAUCCCUAGCUGGUCUUAGAGGAUGAUCAGCCACACUGGGACUGAGAAACGGCCCAGACUCCUGCGGAGGAAGAAGUGGGGAGUAUUACACAAUGGGCGCAAGCCUGAUGCAGCCAUGCAGCGUGUAUGAAGAAGGCCUUAGGGUUUUAAAGUACUUUCAGUCGGGAGGAGUUACCGACAGAAGAAGCACCGGCUAACUCCGUGCCAGCAGCAGCGGUAAUAC
rnacentral:rRNA from 1 species